GACGAACGCUGGCGGCGUGCUUAACACAUGCAAGUCGAACGGAAAGGCCCUGCUUUUGUGGGGUGCUCGAGUGGCGAACGGGUGAGUAACACGUGAGUAACCUGCCCUUGACUUUGGGAUAACUUCAGGAAACUGGGGCUAAUACCGGAUAGGAGCUCCUGCUGCAUGGUGGGGGUUGGAAAGUUUCGGCGGUUGGGGAUGGACUCGCGGCUUAUCAGCUUGUUGGUGGGGUAGUGGCUUACCAAGGCUUUGACGGGUAGCCGGCCUGAGAGGGUGACCGGCCACAUUGGGACUGAGAUACGGCCCAGACUCCUACGGGAGGCAGCAGUGGGGAAUAUUGCACAAUGGGCGGAAGCCUGAUGCAGCAACGCCGCGUGCGGGAUGACGGCCUUCGGGUUGUAAACCGCUUUCGCCUGUGACGAAGCGUGAGUGACGGUAAUGGGUAAAGAAGCACCGGCUAACUACGUGCCAGCAGCCGCGGUGAUACGUAGGGUGCGAGCGUUGUCCGGAUUUAUUGGGCGUAAAGGGCUCGUAGGUGGUUGAUCGCGUCGGAAGUGUAAUCUUGGGGCUUAGCCCUGAGCGUGCUUUCGAUACGGGUUGACUUGAGGAAGGUAGGGGAGAAUGGAAUUCCUGGUGGAGCGGUGGAAUGCGCAGAUAUCAGGAGGAACACCAGUGGCGAAGGCGGUUCUCUGGGCCUUUCCUGACGCUGAGGAGCGAAAGCGUGGGGAGCGAACAGGCUUAGAUACCCUGGUAGUCCACGCUGUAAACGGUGGGUACUAGGUGUGGGGUCCAUUCCACGGGUUCCGUGCCGUAGCUAACGCUUUAAGUACCCCGCCUGGGGAGUACGGCCGCAAGGCUAAAACUCAAAGGAAUUGGCGGGGCCCCGCACAAGCGGCGGAGCAUGCGGAUUAAUUCGAUGCAACGCGUAGAACCUUACCUGGGUUUGACAUGGAUCGGGAGUGCUCAGAGAUGGGUGUGCCUCUUUUGGGGUCGGUUCACAGGUGGUGCAUGGCUGUCGUCAGCUCGUGUCGUGAGAUGUUGGGUUAAGUCCCGCAACGAGCGCAACCCUUGUUCACUGUUGCCAGCACGUUAUGGUGGGGACUCAGUGGAGACCGCCGGGGUCAACUCGGAGGAAGGUGGGGAUGACGUCAAGUCAUCAUGCCCCUUAUGUCCAGGGCUUCACGCAUGCUACAAUGGCUGGUACAGAGAGUGGCGAGCCUGUGAGGGUGAGCGAAUCUCGGAAAGCCGGUCUCAGUUCGGAUUGGGGUCUGCAACUCGACCUCAUGAAGUCGGAGUCGCUAGUAAUCGCAGAUCAGCAACGCUGCGGUGAAUACGUUCCCGGGGCU
rnacentral:rRNA from 1 species